ACCAAAGUAACUGUCAUUCUAUGGAAUGACUCCCUAUGGAGAUAGGGAUAUAUGGGGGAAUGUGGGCUUAAAUUUGAUCUUUACGGAUCUACAAGAAAACAACAAAAGAAGGCUACAGAUACCAAGGCUAUUACUGAGUUCCCAGCAGAUAUAAUGAGGUGAAGAAGCAGAAGAGAGCUUGUAGUGCUGGGAAGCUUCCUAACUCUUGGCGACAAUGUUAGGCUAAAAGAGCCUACCAGAACCCUACACGUGGAUGCCUGGAUGGAGACUGAGAAGGCAGGUCUUAAAUGAAGAAGAGGGCAAAGUAGGAGAGGCUGCCAAGCCGGGAAGGUGCUUGGAAGAAACUUGAAUGCCUGCAGAGUUGGCCAACUUUGGGGGUAACAUCUGUAUAUAUAAGCUCCCUCUACCAAAGCAAGCAACUCGUCUAGAAUUCCACCUUAGUUGAGUAGUUGUUCUUGUCCCUGGUCACACAGCCAGCGUGUGCCAGAGGCAAGAUUAGAACCUAGGGCUUUCUGAUUCCAAGGCUGGUCUUCUACCUUCCCUGCCUCUCAUAUUUUAGUGAUGUUAAACAACUAUAUAUUCAUAUAGUCCUCUGUCAUUAGCAGAAGCUCUCAACGGAGACUAUUAGGGACCAUCUUAUCUACUAAUUAAUGUGAAACGGGACAGUAGAGCACCUUUACAGUACCGGAGGGGACAACUCUUAAGAAAGCUUAAACUUCUGUAGUCAUUAAAAACUUCAGAGAGAAUUUGGGGAGCUCAAUAUUGCUAUUUUGAGUGAAACGUGGG
rnacentral:lncRNA from 1 species